GCCUUAGUAGUAUAAAUAACAAUUACACUGGUCUUGUAAACCAGAAACGGAGUAAAUCACCCCCUAAGACA
rnacentral:tRNA from 1 species